CACAAUAAACAUAUGAAGGCUGCACCGCCAACAGGUGGCAAGGCUGGAGUAUUUUAUUACCCUUGUCUUUUGCGCACUUGUUGUUUCCUGGGCGGGUUCGCCCGCCUCCAGGACCACAUGAUAAACCUUUUUUAUGCAGUUGCAAUCAGCGUCAGUACAACAAAUGUAAAUCAUUUA
rnacentral:misc_RNA from 1 species